GGGGAUUGAACUCAGGGUGCUUUACAAUGGAGCUACAUUCCAAGCCCUUUUUAUUAUUUAUUUUGGGACAAGAUCUCACCAAUUUGCAGAAAAUCUCCCUAAAUUGCUGAGGCUGGCUUUGAACUUGCCAACCUCCAUCCUCUGCCUCCUGAGUCACAGAUUACAGGCAUGAGCCCACGUGCCCAGCUUGAUUCCGUAUCUUAAAAUCUAAUGAUUUUUAAAAGGCCUAAAGUGACAUUUCUAGAUUGAGAGAUUUACCUAAAUGACAGUUUUAAGCUAAGAUUCCUUCCUAUCUCUUCAGUUCCCAUUAGCUCUCCUACUAUUUGAUUCCUUGUGCAGGCUGCUAAACUAUUUGUGCUUUGGAAUCUUCAUAUUGUGAAAUGGGAAAAGUAACAGUGCACACCUAUUCUUGCUUUCAAGAAGUUUAAGAGUAGCCACGAAAAUUAUGGUCCCUGAUCUGCAAUUCUUGAUUUUACAUCUUGUGCUGUAGCCACUAAGAGCACAACUCAUCUCCAUCAAUGUCAGGAAAUAGCUGGGAGAACUUUUUUUCUUAAAGACAAUAAUAAGAACCAGGACUCUUCCAAUUACAGGUUUGUCUCAAAAAGUGAAUUUGCAUUACAGCAACUUGCUAACCCAAGUGCCACCUGUUUCUGUGGCUUUUUAGCCACUGAAACAAGAAGUACCUGUGGGGCAGAAUUUUCCAAACUUCCCUGCUCAGAAGACUCACCAAGAGUGUUUAAAACAAACAAACAACAACAACAACAACAAAAACCCCUACACAAUUCUAGAUCUAGAAUACAAAUAUAGAUCCUCAUCUGAUUUAGUAGGUGUGGGAAAAGAGGCAGGCAUCCGUGUUUUAAUG
rnacentral:lncRNA from 1 species